GAUGAAGAACGUAGUGAAAUGCGAUAAGUAAUGUGAAUUGCAGAAUUCAGUGAAUCAUCGAAUCUUUGAACGCACAUUGCGCCCCCUGGUAUUCCGGGGGGCAUGCCUGUCCGAGCGUCAUUGCAACCUUCAAGCGCGGCUUGUGUGUUGGGUCUCGUCCCCCGUGGACGGGCCCGAAAGGCAGUGGCGGCGUCCCGACAUGGUGCCCGAGCGUAUGGGAAUCCUCUUCCGCUCGAAUCGGCCCAUGCGGCGCUGGUCGUAACCAAAUUUUUUACCGGUUGACCUCGGAUCAGGUAGGGAUACCCGCUGAACUUAAGCAUAUCAAUAAGCGGAGGA
rnacentral:misc_RNA from 1 species